GGGAAGCCGGUCGAAGUCCGGCGCUGACCCGCAACCGUAGGCCGCAGCCCCGUCGUCCCGGCGGGUGCUGAGGUGAGCCGGAGUACC
rnacentral:ncRNA from 2 species